rnacentral:rRNA from 1 species
GUUCGGAUUGUAGUCUGCAACCCGAACUACAUGAAGCCGGAAUCGCUAGUAAUCGCGAAUCAGCAUGUCGCGGUGAAUACGUUCCCGGGUCUUGUACACACCGCCCGUCACACCAUGGGAGUUGGUAACGCCCGAAGUCAGUGACCUAACCGCAAGGGAGGAGCUGCCGAAGGUGGGGCCAGUAACUGGGGUGAAGUCGUAACAAGGUACC